UACGAAGGGGGCUAGCGUUGUUCGGAUUUACUGGGCGUAAAGCGCACGUAGGCGGUUUGUUAAGUCAGAGGUGAAAUCCUGGAGCUCAACUCCAGAACUGCCUUUGAUACUGGCAAGCUCGAGUCCGGAAGAGGUAAGUGGAACUCCUAGGUGUAGAGGUGGAAUUCGUAGAUAUUAGGGAAGAACACCAGUGGCGAAGGCGGCUUACUGGUCCGGAAC
rnacentral:rRNA from 1 species